rnacentral:misc_RNA from 1 species
UGAGAUCCCGCAGUGACUUAUUUUAUGCUAUUAGAGAAAAAAAGAAAAAAAAUCGAGAAAAUUAGGGUUUGUAGUUUUUGGUGUUGUUUUAUUGUAUUUCGUUUGAUUGUAGCUUCUCUCAAUUUAAUGAGAAUUUGUCUGAAGUAUAAUACUCAUAAAUUUUCUUUUUUCCUUUUUCAGUUUUGAUUUUGCCUUUUUUUG